UGGGGAAUUUUGCGCAAUGGGGGAAACCCUGACGCAGCAACGCCGCGUGGAGGAUGAAGCCCUUCGGGACGUAAACUCCUUUCGAUCGGGACGAUAAUGACGGUACCGAGAGAAGAAGCCCCGGCUAACUUCGUGCCAGCAGCCGCGGUAAUACGAGGGGGGCGAGCGUUGUUCGGAAUUAUUGGGCGUAAAGGGUGCGUAGGCGGUUUGGUAAGUCUGAUGUGAAAUCUCUGGGCUCAACUCAGAGUCUGCAUCGGAAACUGCCGGGCUUGAGUGUGGGAGAGGUGAGUGGAAUUCCUGGUGUAGCGGUGAAAUGCGUAGAUAUCAGGAGGAACACCUGUGGCGAAAGCGGCUCACUGGACCAUAACUGACGCUGAUGCACGAAAGCUAGGGGAGCAAACAGGAUUAGAUACCCUGGUAGUCCUAGCCCUAAACGAUGACUGCUUGGUGUGACGGGUACCCAAUCCCGCCGUGCCGUAGCUAACGCGUUAAGCAGUCCGCCUGGGGAGUACGGUCGCAA
rnacentral:rRNA from 1 species